UUUCCGUAGGUGAACCUGCGGAAGGAUCAUUACCGAAUUGUCAAACGGGUUGUUGCUGGUCUUCAAACGGGGACAUGUGCACGCUCUGUUUACACAUCCACUCGCACCUGUGCACCCUCCGUAGUUCUAUGGUCUGGGGGACCCUGUCUUCCUGCCGUGGUUCUACGUCUUUACACACACUCUGUAAUAAAGUCUUAUGGAAUGUAUGCCGCGUCUAACGCAAUACAAUACAACUUUCAGCAACGGAUCUCUUGGCUCUC
rnacentral:misc_RNA from 1 species